AAUGUCACACCAGAAACUGGUCACGGGAGUGUCCCUGAUGAUAAAGUUUGCUGAACUGGGGAAAGUUUGACCAGGAAUUGUAUUUCCAUCUGCUUGAUGGAAUGCUAUUGCAUCACAGGCAGGAUUGGAGGCAUCCAUCUGGAACAGCAGCGUCAUUCUCAUCAAAUGGAAUGUGAGAAAAAUAAUAAUCUGAAAAAAAAGAGCAGAGUGAUCAAGAAGGAUACAUCUGCAGCCUGGAGCCAGCCACAAGUGAAAGCGAUUUACGCCACAAGUAGGAGGGACUUACGCCACAAGUAGGAGGGAUUUAUGCCACAAGUAGGAGGGACUUAUGCCACAGGUAGGACGGAUUGAAGAGGUAUGGCAACACAUCUCGUGAGAGAUGUUGUUUACACAGAAAACAGUGUGACGUCAGCUUUGCAUUCUUUAUAAACACAUCAGAUAACCAUUUUCCAUUUCAGAUUUAUUAUAAUGCAGUCUAGAUGUAAUCCUGAUUUAUUAAAAAAAGUAACUCUAAUCUUAUUACAUUUCUUUUUCUCAGUAACUGUAACAGAAUAGUUACUUAUUUUUUGUAUCCAGAUUACGUAACACAAUUACUUGUAUUCCGUUACUCCCCAAGCCUCAACACAGGAGACAUGCAUAUGCCACCUUCCUAUUUUAUUAAUGCUAAUUAGCCUAACAGUGGAAUUUUUUUCAGAAUUUUUGUAUUUUUAAUUUUUUUUUAGUGUUCAUGGUUUUUCUGUUGUUUUGGAUUUCUUAAUAUUUUGCGUUUGUUCUGCACUGUGUGUUUUGCACAGAAGUGCUCCAAGACAUGGGAGGUAGUAUAUGGACCAAAGUAUUGGGACACACCAUUGAGUCAAGGAAUUGCGGUGUUCCGUUCAGACCCACUGCCACAGGUGUAUAAAAUGAAGCAUCCAGCCAUGCAGACAGUUUUACAAACAUUUGUGAAACAAUGGGUCAUUCUGAAGAGCUCAAUGAAUUCAAACAUGGUACUGUCAUAGGAUGCCACAUUUGCAAUAAGUCAGUUUAUCGAAUUUCUUCCCUGUUAGAAAUUCCAUGGUAAACUGUAAGUGGCAUUAUUGCAAAAUGGAAGCAUUUAUGAACAAA